GUGUAACCAUAACUACCGUCUGUAAAUAGCAGCAGGCAAUGUUACAAUAAAGUGGUAGGGUAGACAAGAAAUAAGCGACAAUAUCCCAAUAACAACAUGCCUGGCAGUGCAAUUUCUGCAGCAGGGAGUUCUGCUUCCUCAUCCUCAUCGAGGAGAGCAAAAACACGCAAUUACAGAGUGGUCAGUCACACAUCCCAGGUAGAUGAAACACUGUUUGGUGUCCCAAACCAUGUGGAACAAAGAAAUCAAAUGAUUAAAGAAAAAAUGGAUAACGUCAGAGAAGAAGGAAUUUCUAUUGAAGAACUUGCCAGAGAAAGGAGUGCAAAGAGGAAAAAUUCAAAAAGAGGAAAGAAAGAUAAAGAAACAGUUCAAGUUAUCACAAAGGAUCUAAUCAGAAAUCUUAUAGUUCCUGGUGAUGAUCCCUCUGGCAAUUCUGUAAUCCUUCCUCGCCACGAGUUCUACAGAAUUGUGAUGGAGGCUCAAGUCAAAACCAAAGAGCAAAGAGAGGCAGAAGAAGCUGCCAUGAAAAGACAGAAAGAAGAAAUGAUGGAGGCAAGCCAACAAAGAAAGAAUCUAAUGAAACAGAAAGAUAUGGAGAGAAGAAAGAAUGAAAAGCUGAAUGAUCUUGAGAUAGAAGCAAAGGAAAAUGCCGAACACUUGUUAUCCAAGGCCAACGCCAUGAGACAGGAGCAAGAGGAUGAGAUUAAACACUUAAAUGAGCUGAUUCUCAAUGCCAAAUGUCAUGCCAUCAGAGAUGCUCAGAUUCUGGAGAAGAAACAAAUUAAGGGUGAGAUGAUGGAGGAGGAUAAGCGACUGGAUGUGAUGAUGGAAGUGGACAGACAGAACGCCAUCACCAUCCAGGAGGAGAUCGAGAAGAAGAGGAAGGAGGAGAGGCUUCUGGGAGCUGCCAAACUUCUGGACCAGAUUCAGGAGAAUGAACAGGAGAGGCUGUUUGAUUUGGAGAGGAAGGACCAAGAAAAUAUUCAAAUGCAGAAGUAUAUUGAGAAAAUGAUGGAUGAAGAUCGAGUUUCUUUGGACAAGAAACAUGCAGAGCAGAUUUCUCUUAGGGAGGACUUGAACAAAGCCAAUGAAGAUCUCCUCAGACGUCGGGAAAUCAAAAAGGAACAGGAAGUUGCAGAGGAACAAAAGGUUGUGGAGUAUAUGAAGAAGAAAGCUGAAAGAGAAGCUGCCUUUGAGAAGGAACAAGAGAGAAUCAGAAUUGAGAAGGAGAAGGAAACAGCCAGGUUACGAGCUCUCCAAGAGCGAGCUCGUGAUGAGCAGGCUGAGCGAGAUGCUCUUCGAGCUAAGCGAGCACAAGAACAGGCUGAGAGGGAAUGGAGAAAGAAAGAAGCAGAGGAGGCUAGAAAGAAGGGUGAAAUGGAGGCUACACUUAUCCAGGCACGCUCUCAGCAAAUGCAGCAGAAAGAACACUUCCUGGCAGUCCAGGCUCAGCGAGAGCGAGCAGAGUUUGAGAGAGUUCUGAGAGCUCAAAAGGAGUUGGUAGAAAAAGAGAAGAGAGAGGAAGAGGAGGCUAAGAAGAAGAAACUGACUCAUGCUGAUGAGGUCAGGAGGCAGAUUCGUGACAAGGAGCAGGUCCGGAUCUUGGAGAGGAACUCGUUCUUUGAGGAGGGCGUUAAACUAGAUGAAGAGGCCCGAGAGAGGAGACAUAAACUUGAGGAAGUGAAAAAGAAGAAAUUGAGUGAACUUAGAGAUGCAGGCAUUCCAGAGAAAUAUAUAGGUCAUGUUGCUCACAAAGUCAAUGUUGUUGUCUCAUAAGACAAGACCAUCAGGAGUGCUGGUAUUCCAGACAAGUAUUUAACUCAAGUGGAGAGAAAGAUCAACCAACCUCAGCACAUCAGUGCCUAACCCAGAACUCUCUUAAGACAGGAGCAGACUUAUAUCAUCUAUAUUGUGGGGGGAAAGCUGCCACUUCAUGCUUCAUCUGUGAUAUAAUUGUUUACAGUUUAUACCAUUCAGUACUCAUCAGAAUUUUUUUCGUUUAUGAUUUUAUUUCAAUUACUAAGAGAAUUGGAUUUUUAGAACUGAAAGAGACUGGAUGCAUUUACAUGUUACUGAUGAACUACAUUUAGUGAAUGUUAAUUUUGUGUAAUAUUGAAUGUUUUACCUUUGUUUUAUUAAUGUUACCUGCGGUGGUCUACUUUAAAUAGAAUUCUGUCAUGAAUGACCAAGAAUACAAACUCUCCAUAUCAGCAGUGCUAGUAAAUGGUUGUCUGCACUUGUAUCAAGUUCCAGUGUGUCACAAUAUUUUUAGAGCCUCUUCUUGGUCUAACAUGAAUAAUGUCUUAAAUUAUAUGUAAAUAUUGAAUCACCAUUUAAUAUAUAUUUAAUAAAGUCAUUCAGUGAUGUGAAUAAAUUUAUUACUAU
rnacentral:misc_RNA from 1 species